rnacentral:misc_RNA from 1 species
UUUCCGUAGGUGAACCUGCGGAAGGAUCAUUAAUGAGUUGUCAUGGGGUUCGAUGCUGGCAGCCAGUUUUUGGAUGCAUGUGCUUGCCCUAACAAUCAUCUUCUUCCAAACACCUGUGCACAUUUUUGAGGGAGUCUUGAGUUGGUUGCCGCUCUUGGGUGAUUUUCUCACAUUCCCUUAAAUCAUUAUACGCUAUUAACAAUGUUGAACGUGCUCUGUGCCGCAAGGCCAUUAAUGUAAUACAACUUUUAACAACGGAUCUCUUGGCUCUC